AUUGAACGCUGGCGGCAGGCCUAACACAUGCAAGUCGAGCGGUAGCACAGAGAGCUUGCUCUCGGGUGACGAGCGGCGGACGGGUGAGUAAUGUCUGGGAAACUGCCUGAUGGAGGGGGAUAACUACUGGAAACGGUAGCUAAUACUGCAUAAUGUCGCAAGACCAAAGAGGGGGACCUUCGGGCCUCUUGCCAUCAGAUGUGCCCAGCUGGGAUCAGCUAGUAGGUGGGGUAACGGCUCACCUAGGAGACGAUCCCUAGCUGGUCUGAGAGGAUGACCAGCCACACUGGAACUGAGACACGGUCCAGACGCCUCCGGGAGGCAGCAGUGGGGAAUAUUGCACAAGGGGCGCAAGCCUGAUGCAGCCAUGCCGCGUGUAUGAAGAAGGCCUUCGGGUUGUAAAGUACUUUCAGCGGGGAGGAAGGUGCUGAGGUUAAUAACCUCAGCAAUUGACGUUACCCGCAGAAGAAGCACCGGCUAACUCCUUGCCAGCAGCCGCAGUAA
rnacentral:rRNA from 1 species